UAGACGUGUGGGACGUUGGACGUACUGACCUCAGGGCAAGCAUACAUGCCCAGAAGACUGGAGCUGUUCCAGCUGAGAAUCUCUCCACCUCUUGGAAUUCUAGAACGUCCAAAAAUAAGACUGAAACAUAAGUAGCCAUUUUAAGCCUGCUAUCCUGCUAGCCUGACGUCCCUCUGUAGGCUACCGUGGUUUGAUGUCUGAUGGUCGGCCUUUGUGAACUUGAAGAGCAUUCCGUAAAAGGUCUGUGUUUGAACCUCGUCAGAACUCCAAAGGGGCGGAGGACUGUCAAACAGACAGCUUUAUCCUCAGGGUCAGAACAUCAGAACUGGACAUUUGAGUAUCAGUAUGGUCAGGUGGAAGACUUCAUGUACUCGUAGAGGCAAGGGCCUGGUGGGAGACAUACAGAGGGGUUGAUGGUGGCACUUUGGCUGAGUGCAAUAAUGAGUCAGUGACAGGUCGAGGCGAGCAUCCAUUCCUCUCUGCGCCUGCGACCGGCCUCGGUACAGUUCAU